rnacentral:lncRNA from 1 species
AUCUGGACACAAGGAUGGGAUCAGGUCAGAAGACAAUGAGAAAAACUCACAUUCUAGGCAUUUAUAGGAAAAGGGGCCCACUGUUUUACAAGAUUGAAAGCACAAAUUUUAAAAGAGGAAAAAGAAGGAAGAAGACAACCACCUUCAUGUCUUUAUUAAUGAGUCGUGGUGGAGGACCUGAUCACUUCUCUUGAUAUUUGCUGAUGAGAAUGGAGUGAGAACAAGAAGACUAGGGGAUUGCCAAGGAAUGUGUUCCUUUCUGUUUUAUACUUGUUGGAAAGAGGUCAAGAUGUAAUAGGAGAAAUUCUUCUUUUUUGGGAGGCCAGAGUAUCACUGUUCCCUUUGCAUUUUGUCAUGUGGCUCUUAGAAGACCAAAGAUACCGCUGAAGUGAGUCAUAAGGCCGAUAAAAAUGACAUAUGCGUGGGCAGAUAAUGUGUUGUGAAAAUCCCCAGAGCUCACGCAAGUGUCUUGUUCUAAUUGGCUGGGUCGCUAAUAUCAAUACUUAGUCCAGGUACUCAUCUUCCCAAUAUGUUUUCCUGUGAAGUGUUGCUUAGGUUUGAAGUUGUAACUGGAUUUCACAGUUUGUAUCAUCAAGGCUCUCAGAAUACCUGCCUCAUUCCUACUCAGUAAAUAUAGAAGUACUCCAUGGGCCAUUCCUUACUAUGUGCCCAACCCAAGAACCAGGAGAAUCACACCACCACUGACACCAACUCUAGGAUCACAAGUGUGAUUUCAGUUGUGCAUCUUCUUUUGCUCCUCACAUGGUGAAUGCCUGAGAUUUCACCAUAGAAUAUUACACAUUUAGUUUAACUUGGGGUCUGCAAACAUUUUCUGUUAGGUCCAGAUAGUAAAUAUUUUCAGCUUUACAGGCUAAACAAUCUUUCUUGAUAUUGCUCAACUCUUCCUGAUAGCAUAGAAAAAACAAUAGACACAGAAAUGAGAGGGCAUGGCUAUGUUCCACUACAACUUUAUUUAUGGACACUAAAUUUGAAUUUCAUAUAAUUUUCACACAUCAUAAAAUAUUAUUCUUCCUUUGAUAUUUUCCAACUAUUAAAAGUGUAAAAGCCAUUUGUAGCUUGAGAGUCAUACAAAAUCAGGUGGUAGGGCAGAUUUAGUCCACAAGCCAUGGUUUGCCUACUCCUGACUCUGACUUAGAUGAAACAUGAAUUACUCUAAGUGGAAUCAGUCUUUAAAUAUUAUUGGAAUUUCCUUCUGAAAGAAGGAACUGUGUCUUUUGAUCAAGAGCAGGAAUAAGGAACCUCAUUAAAUAUGGGGAGUCCUUGAGGCCACUAGAGCCCUGAGCCAUAGAAGUCCCAGGAGACAGGAUUAGUUGAAGUUUAAUAGAAACAACUUUGACCAUGAAUAAAAGAUUUUAAUUUAAAUCUUAACUGAGCCACUUCCUGUUAGUGCAAUCUUGGGCCAAUUACUUGAUUUUUGUGAGUUUGUUUCCUCACCUGUGACACAGGAACAAUAUCCUAACAGUAAGGCUGUUAGGACUAGAUCACUGGUAGGAUUCACUAAUGCAUCUGUAGCAUACAAAAGAUACUUUGUACAUUGAUACAAAUCUGAUGAAAAGUGUAUGAAAGAUGAAUUAUGUAAUGGAUGUUCUGGUAGAAUUCCAUUGGUUACAAGAAGCAGACUCUCAUGUAGUGUUUAUAUGGUUUGAGGUAAAUGGGUUUAGUGUGAAGACCAGGACAGUGCUGUCUGAUGGACAA